GUCCCUGUAGCGCAAUGGAUAGCGCGUUGGGUUUAAUACAAAGGUCGUGGCUUCGAAUCACACCUGGGAUA